UUGGUUCAAUAACAGUAAAGCUACUGUCAAUGUAUUUUGUUGUUGGAUUUGGUGACUGCACGACAGUUUAUAUGACAGUCAAUUACAGUCACCCUUACGUACGAGAUUCUGUGUGUUUUUUCUUGUUGGCUUUGCGAGCUGUCGUAACUGUCAGCUGCAGUCAAAAUACUGUAGGUUUAACGUAAAAAGUUUUAUGUGUUUCUUUAUCUUGUUUGGUAUCGUGUAUGUAUUUUUGCAUUCCCAAGGUAAGUAACAUUAACAUUUUAUAAUUUUAUUAAAUAUUUUAUGAAAAUCCAUUGAUUUUUCUGCCCACUAAAAUACUUUCUGGUAUAAUUCUGGUAUAUAUUUCCAAACUUCUAGUAUAUAGCAAGCGUUUCUUGAAAAAACGAUUUCGGGCACACUUAAAAAGCGGCGUCGGUUUCGAGAAGUUGUGCAGCGAAAAAGUGAAGUGAAAAAGUUAAAAGUAAAAGUUAUGAGUGAUAUUGACGAAGUGGCUACCUUGGAGGAUCUUCUGGAGGAGUGGGAUUUCAGAGACCUAUCGCCCACAUUUCUCGCGAUCAGCGGACAUGUACAUGCAUGCAAAUGUAUUUUUUGGCUUCUUGUUGACUUGCGAUGCCAACCAUCUCAGGCGAGUGCGAGCAAGAUAGCUGGCACUGACAUCCAAGAACCGUGAGAGUAUUCACAUGUAACUAUAAAACAUAACUAUGUAAAUGGAAUCAACAAAAUAAAAGCUAUAGUCGAGACAAAAGUACUAGUUCGGAUGUGAAAUAUGGACAAAUAUAUAUUUGAAAUAUAUAUAUAUAUAAGUCCAUAAUAUUAUUAAUUAAG